AAUGAACGCUGGCGGCAGGCCUAAUACAUGCAAGUCGAACGGGUGGCGGAGGGGUGAGUAAGUGCGGGACAAGUGGCAGAUGGAGGGGGAUAACUACGGGAACCGGUGGCUAAUACCGCAUAAGAUCGGAUAGGCCCAGGUGGGAUUAGCUAGUAGGUGGGGUAAAGGCUCACCUAGGGGACGAGCCCUAGCAGGUCUGAGAGGAUGACCAGCCACACUGGAACUGAGACACGGUCCAGACUCCUACGGGAGGCAGCAGUGGGGAAGAUUGCACAAUGGGCGCAAGCCUGAUCGAGCCAUGCCGCGUGUAUGAAGAAGGCCUUCGGGUUGUAAAGUACUUUCGGCGGGGAAGCGUUACCCGCAGAGGAAGCCACGGCUAACUCCGUGCCAGCAGCCGCGGUAAUUC
rnacentral:rRNA from 1 species